CGCGGAUCUGCUGGUGGAAAAGGGCCAGCUUCUCUCGGCUGCAGGGGAGAAAGCACGGGCAGAAGAACAGGAAGUGAGCUUCCAAGAAGAUAUAAUCGAAAUUCAGAAUGAUGAAGAAGCAAAACUACUUUUCAAAAAUGUCGGCAUUUGUGGCGCUGCCUGACCUGCUGAGUUCCUCCUGCAUUUGUGAGUGAUGCUUCAGAUGUCCAGCAUUUUCAGAAUCUUUUGUUUUUAGUUUGAAAUUAAGAAUGUUAACUAAGACUAUUGUAGCUCGAUUUUAGAUGAGGU